rnacentral:rRNA from 1 species
GACGAACGCUGGCGGCGUGCCUAAUACAUGCAAGUCGAACGCAGUGGGGACGGGUGAGUAACACGUGGGUAACCUCCCAUCAGAGGGGAUAACACUUGGAAACAGGUGCUAAACCGCUACUGAUGGAUGGACCCGCGGUGCAUUAGCUAGUUGGUGGGGUAACGGCUCACAAAGGCCAAGAUGCAUAGCCGACCGGAAAGGGUGAUCGGCCACACUGGGACGACGACACGGCCCAGACUCCUACGGGAGUCAGCAUUAGUGAAUCUUCGGCAAUGGCCGAAAGUCUGACCGAGCAACGCCUCGUGAGUGAAGAAGGUUUUCGGAUCGUAAAACUCUGUUGUUAGAGAAGCGGUAUCUAACCAGAAAGCCACGGCUAACUACGUGCCAGCAGCCGCGGUAAUUC